rnacentral:rRNA from 1 species
UACGUAGGGGCCAAGCGUUGUCCGGAUUUAUUGGGCGUAAAGAGCUCGUAGGCGGUUCGGCAAGUCAGCUGUGAAAUCUCCACGCUCAACGUGGAGGGUCAGCUGAUACUGCUGUGACUUGAGUCCGGUAGGGAGUGUGGAAUUUCCCGGUGUAGCGGUGAAUGCGCAGAUAUCGGGAGGAACACCAGUAGCGAAGGCGGCACUCUGGGCCGGUACUGACGCUGAGGAGCGAAAAGCGUGGGGAGCAAACAGGGAUUAAGAAACCC